rnacentral:hammerhead_ribozyme from 1 species
AUCCAGCUGACGAGUCUCAAAUAAGACGAAACACAAGUCUUGGAU